GGCCACAUCACAUUGAAAUACCAGUUCCCAUAUGAUCACCAAAGUUAAGCAAUGUUGAGCUUGAUCAAUACUUAGAUGGGUGAAUGCUUGGGAAUAUCUGGUGCUGUAA